GCCCAGAUGGUGGAAUUGGUAGACACGCUAGCUUCAGGUGCUAGUGCGCGAGCGUGCAAGUUCGAGUCUUGUUCUGGGCA
rnacentral:tRNA from 1 species